rnacentral:lncRNA from 1 species
AUAUGUUCUGUUUCUCUAGGUCCAUGUCUGUAAUUGCUAACUUCAACUAUCAGCAGGACAUCUGAUGGCUUACUGUGCACGAGAGAAGUCAUAGCUUUCCCGUUUCUACUUUUUAAAAUCUCAUCUAGAAAUCUUCGCUUUAAUUUCUCUUCACCAUGUAAAUGUGUGACAACAUCCACGUGAUGGUGCAGGCGGCAGCCGUUCUUGGUUUAUCAUUCUGCUCAUUGCCUUUCCUCCACUUGAAGCUAAUAAAAAGUGAGUCCCAAAUACCAAACUGAAUCAAAGUUGAGUACCCCUUAAGCCAGUCGCAAGAAAGAGGCAAGCUGUGGCUUUUUUUUUUUUUUUUCAGUUCCUCGGGUCUGAGCAUGAUAUUUUACAUCAUGUGAAAAAUGAAACGUUAAAAACAUCUUAAGUGGAUUGUUUUUAGUUUUGCUGGUCAUUUUCAGUAUCUAAGAACAGAAUAUGUUUUCAUCGCCUCUGGGAACCACAAUGUACAUGCCGUACUGUCUUCCUCCAGCAGGAAAAAACUACUUCCUAACACAUGCAAUUUAACAAUAAUAGAUGGGCAUUCGUGUCUGAGUCCUAGAACUGGAAUUUCCUGCACUAGAGGUACCCCGCGUUAGGAAUAUUGCUGGUCUGGCAGAGUGAGGACUGGAUGGCUUCAUCUUUAUAGGGAAACAACACCCCAGACAGGAUCUCCGGGAUAUCCUGAGAGUCAGUGUCUCAAUUCAGUGACUGAACAGAAUUUGGAAGAGUUGGAAUCGUGGUUGGACCCUUGUAGUUGUACUAGGAAAGGACCUGUGGGUUGGUUGUGUACGUCUUAAUGUUUCUGGAAGAAGCUCGCAAGGAAGAAGGACCAAGGCCAGGGGUUUGCAAUAAUCCAUACCAGUAUGUAUUCAGUAUCGUCCGUGACCUCGGUCACAAAUGAAUUCAUUCAGUACAUGCUUGUGACAUGUUUCUGUGCUCAGGGUUGACAGUAAGACAAAACACUGGGGUGUCACAGAAGAGAAGCUAGUGAAAUUAGGUUCAUCACACCCUUCACUGUUCACCAGGCUCCAGAUUGCUUCUAGAAGAGAGUUGGGUUCCCACUUAGAGAAAGAAAGGAUACCUGAGCUUCCAAACUUGCACAGCAGAGUGAAAGCCCACCUUUAGCACAUCAGAGUUUUGGAGAUGUCUUGACAGUACAACAUAUGACCCAAUGGGUGCCACUUAGAGACUAAAUGGAGGGAUGCCGCUACUUAUUCUGAGGCAUCAGGUGUGAACUUGAGGAGGGUACUC